CAACCUGCCGACAACACUGGGAUAGCCUUUCGAAAGAAAGAUUAAUACCGGAUGGCAUAGUAUUCCNGCAUGGGAUAAUUAUUAAAGAAUUUCGGUUGUCGAUGGGGAUGCGUUCCAUUAGGCAGUUGGCGGGGUAACGGCCCACCAAACCAACGAUGGAUAGGGGUUCUGAGAGGAAGGUCCCCCACAUUGGAACUGAGACACGGUCCAAACUCCUACGGGAGGCAGCAGUGAGGAAUAUUGGUCAAUGGACGAGAGUCUGAACCAGCCAAGUAGCGUGAAGGAUGACUGCCCUAUGGGUUGUAAACUUCUUUUAUACGGGAAUAAAGUUAGCCACGUGUGGCUUUUUGUAUGUACCGUAUGAAUAAGGAUCGGCUAACUCCGUGCCAGCAGCCGCGGUAAUACGGAGGAUCCGAGCGUUACCCGGAUUUAUUGGGUUUAAAGGGAGCGUAGGCGGGUUGUUAAGUCAGUUGUGAAAGUUUGCGGCUCAACCGUAAAAUUGCAGUUGAUACUGGCGACCUUGAGUGCAACAGAGGUAGGCGGAAUUCGUGGUGUAGCGGUGAAAUGCUUAGAUAUCACGAAGAACUCCGAUUG
rnacentral:rRNA from 1 species